rnacentral:rRNA from 1 species
UAAUUUUUCCCCGGGACGGGACUCUUCGGUGUUCAGUGGCGGACGGGUGAGUAACGCGUCCUCAAUCUGCCUUCAGGUUCGGGACAACCCCUGGAAACGGUGGCUAAUACCGGAUGUGCUAUACAGUAAAAGAUUUAUCGCCUGAAGAUGAGCUCGCGUCUGAUUAGCUAGUUGGUGAGGUAAAAGCUCACCAAGGCGACGAUCAGUAGCUGGUCUGAGAGGAUGACCAGCCACACUGGGACUGAGACACGGCCCAGACUCCUACGGGAGGCAGCAGUGGGGAAUUUUCCGCAAUGGGCGAAAGCCUGACGGAGCAAGACCGCGUGAGGGAGGAAGGCCCUUGGGUUGUGAACCUCUUUUCUCUGGGAAGAAGACAGUGACGGUACCAGAGGAAUCAGCAUCGGCUAACUCCGUGCCAGCAGCCGCGGUA